AUCAACGUCCUGCGCAGGGUGCUGGAGGAGCUGACCCUGGCCAGGACUGACCUGGAGAUGCAGAUCGAGGGCCUGAAGGAAGAGCUGGCCUACCUGAAGAAGAACCAUGAGGAGGAAAUCAGUGUACUGAGGGGCCUAGUGGGAGGCCAGGUCAGUGUGGAGGUGGAUUUAGCUCCAGGCACUGAUCUCGCCACGAUCCUGAGUGACAUACGAAGCCAAUACCAGGUCAUGGCCGAGCAGAACCGGAAGGAUGCUGAAGCCUGGUCCACCAGCGGGACUGAAGAAUCUAACCAGGAGCUGUCUGGCCACACGGAGCAGCUCCAGAUAAGCAGGUCCGAGGUCACUGACCUGCGGCGCACCCUCCAGGGUCUUGAGAUUGAGCUGCAGUCCCAGCUGAGCAUGAAAGCUGCUUUGGACAACACACUGGCAGAAACCGAGGCGCGCUUUGGAGCCCAGCUGGCGCAUAUCCAGGCACUGAUCAGUGGUGUUGAAGCCCAGCUAGGCGAUGUGCGAGCUGAUAGUGAGCGGCAGAAUCAGGAGUACCAGCGGCUCAUGGACAUCAAGUCGCGGCUGGAGCAGGAGAUUGCCACCUACCGCAGCCCGCUCGAGGGCCAGGAAGAUCACUACAACAACCUGCCUGCCUCCAAAGUCCUCUGAGGCAGCAGGCUCUCGGGGCUUCCGCUGUCCUUCGGAGGGUGUCUCCUGGGUAAGGGGAUGGGAAGGAAGGGACCCUAACCCCGGCUCUUCCCCUGACCUUCCAAUAAAAUUUUAUGGUCCAAGGG